rnacentral:lncRNA from 1 species
AUCCUUUGCUACAAAUUGACGUAUAUAAAGAAAAGAAAGGGAAAUUCUACCGCGAAAUUUGCCGAUAAGGCCCAUUAAAAUUGUUUUGUUUACGAUUGUAAGUUUAGGCGGGAAAUUUCCCGUGUAGAAACACGCUUGUCGACCAAUCAACGCUCGCGUACUAUAAAUGUUCUAUAUUAUCAUAAUUUAUGCAUUUGGUACGGCUCAUGUAAAGCACGGCAGUAUAAAUCAACAUGNNNNNNNNNNNNNNNNNNNNCUAAUUUCGCAACUUUGAUGCAAAGAAUCUAACGAAAGGUGUAUCCUUUGCUACAAAUUGACGUAUAUAAAGAAAAGAAAGGGAAAUUCUACCGCGAUAUUUGCCGAUAAAGCGGUAUUUAAAAUCACUACAGAGAAAAUAGAACAAAUUACACUGAAUACAAAACAAGCUACAGAAGCGGAAGUGGGGAGGUUUUUGUAUUUUGACUGUAACAGUUACAAAAUGAGCUGAGUAGGUAAAAUUCUUUUUAAAGUUUUUUAAUUUGCAUUAAAAUUGUUUUGUUUACGAUUGUAAGUUUAGGCGGGAAAUUUCCCGUGUAGAAACACGCUUCUCGACCAAUCAACGCUCGCGUACUAUAAAUGUUCUAUAUUAUCAUAAUUUAUGCAUUUGGUACGGCUCAUGUAAAGCACGGCAGUAUAAAUCAACAUGUGCUUCAGCCGUGUAGCACGCCUGAACCAGGCGAACUUAUUAA